AACCUGACCCUGUCAGGGGUGAAAGGCGGCCCGUUGAUGAUCGUAUAGAGACUGACGUGCCGUGCCGACACCCGACUGAACACGUUGCCAAAGGUGCGAGCGAUGUCCUGCCCCUACUUUAGGGUGGGCUCGCGCGCCAAUUUUUGGAAGGCCCUGCUACCCUCUGGGAAACGGGGCCUAUU
rnacentral:sRNA from 1 species